rnacentral:rRNA from 1 species
GACGAACGCUGGCGGCGUGCUUAACACAUGCAAGUCGAACGGUAAGGCCCCAGCUUGCUGGGGUACACGAGUGGCGAACGGGUGAGUAACACGUGGGUGACCUGCCCCGCACUUCGGGAUAAGCCUGGGAAACUGGGUCUAAUACCGGAUAGGACCGCACCGUGAGGGUGUGGUGGAAAGUUUUUCGGUGUGGGAUGGGCCCGCGGCCUAUCAGCUUGUUGGUGGGGUAAUGGCCUACCAAGGCGGCGACGGGUAGCCGGCCUGAGAGGGUGGACGGCCACAUUGGGACUGAGACACGGCCCAGACUCCUACGGGAGGCAGCAGUGGGGAAUAUUGCACAAUGGGCGGAAGCCUGAUGCAGCGACGCCGCGUAGGGGAUGACGGCCUUCGGGUUGUAAACUCCUUUCACCAUCGACGAAGGUUUUCUGACGGUAGAUGGAGAAGAAGCACCGGCUAACUACGUG